GGAGGGUUCGCAUAGCGGUCUAGUGCGCACGCUUGGAAAGCGUGUAUGCCGAAAGGCAUCGAGGGUUCAAAUCCCUCACCCUCCGCCA
rnacentral:tRNA from 1 species